rnacentral:rRNA from 1 species
UACGAAGGGUGCAAGCGUUACUCGGAAUUACUGGGCGUAAAGCGUGCGUAGGUGGUGAGUUAAGUCUGAUGUGAAAUCCCCGGGCUCAACCUGGGAAUGGCAUUGGAUACUGGCUCGCUAGAGUGCGGUAGAGGGUGGUGGAAUUCCCGGUGUAGCAGUGAAAAUGCGUAGAGAUCGGGAGGAACAUCUGUGGCGAAGGGCGGCCACCUGGACCAACACUGACACUGAGCACGAAAGCGUGGGGAGCAAACAGGGAUUAGAAACCUAGAG